UUUUGUAUGGGGUCUAUAUUAUUAUGUUACCGGAGAAGUUUCAUGUUUAGUUUGGAAAGUUUUUCUUUUAUUUUAGAUACAGCGCGCGCGCAAGAUUGAGGAGACAUCACGUGACGCGGGUUUAUAUUAAGAAAAACUUAGUCUUUUAAUUUCUUUUUAGGUCGGGACCUUGAACAGACAACAUGUCUAGAGAUGGAAUGUACACAAUGUAAUUUCUUUUGUCAUUGUAGGAAAUUGACAUUUUGAUCACAGUUCACCAGCAGUGCAUGUUUUGGAUUUAAUCGAUCCGGUGUAACUUUAAAACACAUUUAAUGAUUAUUUUCUGAUAAUGUACAUUUUUCAGCACCUGUUUGUAACACAGAUUAGUAUUUCAAUCUCGGAGCGGACAUUUUAUUGUAGGUUUUUACUGAGAUUUACGGACCUAGCAAGCGAUUUUUACGGCAUUGCCAUUU
rnacentral:lncRNA from 1 species